rnacentral:rRNA from 1 species
UUCCGGUUGAUCCUGCCGGAGGCUACUGCUAUUGGGAUUCGACUAAGCCAUGCGAGUCAAGGUGUCUUCGGAUGCCGGCGUACGGCUCAGUAACACGUAGGUAACCUACCCUCAGGACUGAGAUAACCCCGGGAAACUGGGGCUAAUAUUAGAUAGAUAAAAGGUACUGGAAUGUUCUUUUAUCCAAAGCUUUUGCGCCUGAGGAUGGGCCUGCGUCCGAUUAGGUUGUUGGUGGGGUAAUGGCCCACCAAGCCUGCGAUCGGUACGGGCAGUGAGAGCUGAAGCCCGGAGUUGGGGACUGAGACAAGGCCCCAGGCCCUACGGGGCGCAGCAGGCGCGAAACCUCUGCAAUGCGGGAAACCGUGACAGGGGGAUCCCAAGUGCUCAUGCAUUGCAUGGGCUGUUCUUUGGUCUAAGUAACCAGAGGAGUAAGGGCUGGGCAAGACCGGUGCCAGCCGCCGCGGUAAUACCGGCAGCUCAAGUGGUAGCCGCGAUUAUUGGGCCUAAAGCGUUCGUAGCCGGAUAAGUAAGUCUUUGGUUAAAUCCUGCAACUCAACUGUGGGAAAUCUAGGGAUACUGCUUGUCUUGAGACCGGGAGAGGUUAGAGGUACUCCUAGGGUAGGGGUGAAAUCCUGUAAUCCUAGGGGGACCACCCGUGGCGAAGGCGUCUAACUGGAACGGGUCUGACGGUGAGGGACGAAACCUAGGGGAACGAGCCGGAUUAGAUACCCGGGUAGUCCUAGGCGUAAAUGAUGCGAGUUAAGUGUGGGGGCAUCUACGAGAUGGCCCUGUGCUGUAGGGUAGCCGUUAAACUCGCCGCCUGGGGAGUACGGUCGCAAGGCUGAAACUUAAAGGAAUUGGCGGGGGAGCACCACAAGAGGUGGAGGCUGCGGUUCAAUUGGAGUCAACGCCGGAA